UCUCAUUCAUUCAUAUUGUACUUUUCUCUUCUCUCAGAUUCUGCACCAGUAUCGUGGCUCAAGACUCCAGAGGCCACAUUUACCAUGGCCGGAAUCUGGAUUAUCCUUUUGAAAAUUUCUUGAACAAGCUGACCGUGGAUGUGCAAUUCAUAAAGAAUGGGCAGGUCGCAUUCACAGGAACCACGUUUGUUGGCUAUGUAGGAUUAUGGACUGGUCAGAGUCCAUACAAGUUUACAGUUUCUGGAGAUGAACGAGACAAAGGCUGGUGGUGGGAGAAUGUGAUCGCUGCCCUUUUUCAGAGACACUAUCGGAUCAGCUGGCUUAUCCGUACUCUACACAGUUUAUACUACAGUGAUGACUGCUGCCAGCCCAGAGAAGUACAUGACUAGGAUCAGAAACCUGGGUUAAAACCUCUAGAGUUGUGUGGUUCUGAACACCUGUCCCGAGGAAGCAGCUCUCACAGAUGUUGCUUAAAUGUCAGGACUCAAAGGAGCGCACAACUGCGUUGCAGAAUUUGACUUUUUGUUUUCCCGCACGUACAAGAAAGAAACGUCUCUGAGGAUGAAGUGAGAAAAGGUUAAAAUCCAUGAACAGUGAAUCAGUGGGAUGUUUUUGUUUAGUGAACUAGCAAGAGCAAAGGAAAAUGGAAUGAGUGGAGGGAAGUGUUAGCCAGGCGCUGGUCACCCCGCUUCACCAUAAUGCACAUACCUCACUAGUGGCCCAGAGCAGUCAUGUGUCUUCUUGGGCAGUGUUGGAUCCACAUAGUUAAAUUUCCAUCAUCUAACGCCCUUUUUAAAAAUCAAACAUCAAGAGUAGCUUACUCUUGCCAGACAUGUUGAACUGUGAUGAAGACUAGAAACUUCUACUUAUUAGUCACUUCCAUUCCUGUUUUCUAGACUACAGACCGUGACCUUUGGAUGGAAAUUUGGGGAAUUACCCUAAUUUUAACCAGGCAUUGAGGACUUUUCAGCAGGAGAGGGAUUUAAGUAAUCUAAAUUUCUGUUGUUUUUAAGACCUGUGUUCCUUAUGCCCUGUGGUUUCACUACAGUGGGUCUAGAUGUAGAUUUCUUGUUAUUUAGCUUGCUUAGGAUUUGUUAUGCUUUUCAGAUUUCAAAUUUAUCUCUUUUAUUCAAGUUUGGAAAGUGCUCAGUUACUCUUCUGUGACUGUCCUAUAUUCUCUUAAGUCUUCUCUCCUAAACUCCCAAGCAUAUGUGUUUUCAUGCUUUCUAUCCUCUGUCUCAGCCCUCUGGUAUUUUGGAGGGGAGAAAAAUAGGAGGGGGUAGAUUUCUCUCUUGAUGACAUAUUCCAGGUAAUGUCUUUAUUUUUUUCUGUAAAAUCAAAUAUUUCUUCAGUGGAUCUAUUGAGUUUUUAAUAUCAAGGAUUGAUUAUGCUUGUUUGUUUGUUUAUUUUAGAGAGAGAGAGCAUGAGCCAGAGGGAUAGAGAGAGAAGGAGAGGGAACCUCAAGCACACUCCCUGCUGAGCACAGAGCCUGAUGCAGGGCUUGAGAUCACGACCUGAGCUGAAACCAAGAGUAGGACACUUAACGGACUGAGCCACUCAGGCAUCCCUAUUUAUUUAUUUUUUAAAAGAUUUUAUUUUAAGUAACCUCUGCAUCCAGCAUGGGGCUUGAACUUAGAACCACCAGAUCAAGAGUUGCAUGCUUUACUGACUGAGCCAGCCAGAUGCCCCUCAAGGAUGAUAUUUUUAUUUUAGAUGGGCUAUUUGCUACUUUUUCAAACUGCUGGGAUUUUUGUUGGAUAGUAUCUGUUCCUUGCUUUGGUUUGUUUGUUUGUUUUUGUUAAACUUCUUAACCCAUACUUAUUUUAAACUUUUCUUUUUUUUUAAUUUUUAUUUAUUUAUGAUA